ACGUGGUGCCGCUGAGCUUGGACCCCGACCAGAAGAUAGAGAUUGAAACGAUGAGGAAAACGAAGUGCCUAAUCCCCGCUGGACGCUAACUGCAGGGAACAUGGAGGAGACAUAUUUCCACCUAUUUCUCUCCAUAAGUAUAAAAGACCAUAAAAGACCAUCUAGGGACUUCAGAACCCAAAUAAUGACACAAUGAUGAGAAAGGGGAGGCUCAGAGAGGGGAAGUAACUGCUGCAUAGUCACACAGCUGGAGAGUGACAAGGUCCAUGUUCAAACCAAGGGCUGAUGCCAAAGUCCAAGCUUGAACCACACUGCAAUGCUGCCCAUUUGUGCACUAUUCCAUCUGCGUAUCCAGCAGCAAAAUACAAUUCUGCUCAGAAUAAUGAACCUAAUGUUCUGAAGGCACCAGAAGGUUGUGGAAGUAUUGACCUAUCUCUAGUUAGCAUCUGCUCACCAGGACCCCUGAGACUGUGGAGGGGGUAACUCAGCAGAAGGACCAGGGCUAACAGGGACUGAAUCCUUACCACAUACCAGGGCCCGUUCCAAACACUUUGCAUGUUUUAAAUUGC
rnacentral:lncRNA from 10 species